rnacentral:rRNA from 1 species
GAUGAACGCUGGCGGCGUGCUUAACACAUGCAAGUCGAACGGUGAGGCCCAGCUUGCGGGGUGGGUUCGUGUGGAGCAGGGGAGUGAAACGUGAGUAUCCUGCCCUUUAGUCUGGGGGAAGCCUGGGGAACUGGGGGUAAUACAGGGUAGAGGCGUCCACCGCACGGGGGGGGGGGGGAAAAUUUUUAGCGGUUGGGGAUGGACUCGCGGUCUAUCAGCUUGUUGGAGGGGUAGUGGCUCACCAAGGCGGUGACGGGUAGCCGGCCUGAGAGGGUGACCGGCCACACUGGGACUGAGACACGGCCCAGACUCCUACGGGAGGCAGCAGUGGGGAAUAUUGCACAAUGGGCGGAAGCCUGAUGCAGCGACGCCGCGUGAGGGAUGACGGCCUUCGGGUUGUAAACCGCCUUCGGUUGGGAAGAAGCGAAAGUGACGGUAACUGCAGAAGAAGCACCGGCUAACUACGUG